rnacentral:rRNA from 1 species
GAUGAACGCUGGCGGCGUGCUUAACACAUGCAAGUCGAACGGAAAGGCCCUGCUUUUGUGGGGUGCUCGAGUGGCGAACGGGUGAGUAACACGUGAGUAACCUGCCCUUGACUUUGGGAUAACUUCAGGAAACUGGGGCUAAUACCGGAUAGGAGCUCCUGCUGCAUGGUGGGGGUUGGAAAGUUUCGGCGGUUGGGGUUGGACUCGCGGCUUAUCAGCUUGUUAGUGGGGUAGUGGCUUACCAAGGCUUUGACGGGUAGCCGGCCUGAGAGGGUGACCGGCCACAUUGGGACUGAGAUACGGCCCAGACUCCUACGGGAGGCAGCAGUGGGGAAUAUUGCACAAUGGGCGGAAGCCUGAUGCAGCAACGCCGCGUGCGGGAUGACGGCCUUCGGGUUGUAAACCGCUUUCGCCUGUGACGAAGCGUGAGUGACGGUAAUGGGUAAAGAAGCACCGGCUAACUACGUG